GAUGAAGAACGUAGCGAAAUGCGAUGCGUAAUGUGAAUUGCAGAAUUCAGUGAAUCAUCGAAUCUUUGAACGCACAUUGCGCCUGCCAGCACUCUGGCAGGCAUGCCUGUUCGAGCGUCAUUUCAACCAUCAAGCCCUAGGCUUGCGUUGGAGCCCUGCGGCUGCCGCAGGCCCCUAAAAGCAGUGGCGGGCUCGCUAUCACACCGAGUGCAGUAGAUUACUCUUCGCUCAGGGCGUGUGGCGGGUUCCAGCCGUGAAACCCCCUACUUCUCAAGGUUGACCUCGGAUCAGGUAGGAAUACCCGCUGAACUUAAGCAUAUCAAUAAGCGGAGGA
rnacentral:misc_RNA from 1 species